rnacentral:sRNA from 1 species
GCCGGGCACAGUGAUGCACGCCUGUAAUCCCAGAGGCUAGGGAGGCUGAGACAGGAGGGUCGCAAGUUCAAAGCCAGCUUCAGUAACGUGAAGCGCAACUCAGUGAGACCCUGUCUCUA